GACGAACGCUGGCGGCGUGCUUAACACAUGCAAGUCGAACGGAAAGGCCCUGCUUUUGUGGGGUGCUCGAGUGGCGAACGGGUGAGUAACACGUGAGUAACCUGCCCUUGACUUUGGGAUAACUUCAGGAAACUGGGGCUAAUACCGGAUAGGAGCUCCUGCCGCAUGGUGGGGGUUGGAAAGUUUCGGCGGUUGGGGAUGGACUCGCGGCUUAUCAGCUUGUUGGUGGGGUAGUGGCUUACCAAGGCUUUGACGGGUAGCCGGCCUGAGAGGGUGACCGGCGACAUUGGGACUGAGAUACGGCCCAGACUCCUACGGGAGGCAGCAGUGGGGAAUAUUGCACAAUGGGCGGAAGCCUGAUGCAGCAACGCCGCGUGCGGGAUGACGGCCUUCGGGUUGUAAACCGCUUUCGCCUGUGACGAAGCGUGAGUGACGGUAAUGGGUAAAGAAGCACCGGCUAACUACGUG
rnacentral:rRNA from 1 species